AUUUAUAUAGUAUAAUUUAGUAUAUUUGACUUCCAAUCAUAAGGUUUAAAAAAAUUAAUAUAAAUA
rnacentral:tRNA from 1 species